GAAGGUCCAGCUCUGCCGGGAAGACCUGCUCACCUGGAACAGCUGCUGGACUCACCUGUUCAGGUGGUGUCAGGUUGGUGGGACAGCCGAGCCGCUGUGCUGGUACUUUGGAGAUCCAACACCAGGGACAGUGGAGACCAGUAAUAGACCCCCGUAGAGACUGGGACCUGAAGUCUGGAUCUGCUGUGUGUCAGUAUCUGGACUGUGGAUCAGCUGUUUCAGUCAACAACACACAGGAUUCUGCACACAGACCUGUGUGGUCAGUGUCAGUUCCUUGUGUAAAGCUGACAUCUGGACUGAGGGACUGUGUUGAACUAAGUGGUUCCUACAUGUCCUCAUCUGGUGUGGACGUGGUGUGUUCAGACUCCUCUGACCGUCAGAGUGGUGCUCAUCGUCCUGGCUCUGCUCAUAUGUGUUCUUUGCCUCUUCUUCUUCUUCUUCUUCUUCUUCUUCUACUAUAAGGUCUAUGUGAGGCGGAGCCAAAUGAAGGCGGAGUCAAACACAGUCACAGUUCAGGAAGAAACAUCCCAUUAAUAGAGUUCCAGUUGUUCAAGAGGUGUUGUGUUGUUGUUUAGUGUUGUUGUUGUUGUUGUUGUUGUUGUUGUGUGUGUAGUUUGGCUUCUUUCAGAGGACUCGAGCUCCCACUGAAGAUGAGGAGGAGGAUGAAGAGCAGAGGAGGAGGGUCACAUGACCCAAUAACAAAUACACACACACAUACACACAUACACACACACACACACACACACACCUACACACACACACACACACACACACACACGCCACACACACACACACACACACACACACACACACACACAUAUACAGGCAGGAUAUAAUGGUGAAACUAAGAGUUUUUUAGGCAAAAUCGGGGGUGAUUUUGUGAAAUUCAUGGGUUAUUAAUAUUCAACCAUUUCAUGUGUGAAUCACCGCGCCUGCACCGCUACCUGAGCAUCAUGUGAUCUUCAGCACGAUGUAUGAUUGGGUGAAAGUUAGAUCAAGUGGCUCAGUACUCCAUUGGUUUUGCCUGGUCGAGAUGUCUGUGAUAUACUGAAUUUUUUUAGAUUGACUUUGAAAUUUGAGAUUAUGGAAUUAAAAAACUUUUUUUUAAUAAUUGAAUUCAGAUUAUGAAACUAUGUGUAAAAAUUCAACUAUUCAAAAAAAUUUAACUAUAAAAAAUUCAAAGUGUGAAAUACAGCCAUUCAAAAAAAACAUUCAACUAUAAAAAAAUUCAAAUGAUUAAAUAGAACUAUUAAAAAAAUCAACUAUAAAAAAAUUCAAAUUACGAAAUACAACUAUUCCAAAAAAAAUUAUUGCAAAUACAACCAUUCAGUAUCUGACGGCACACAUUUGCUUCCAUGCAUUAACCACACAAAGACUCAUGGAAAAUAUCAUGGCAUCUGUAUUCUAUGGUGAUUGUUUUUUUUUCUCUUACACAUUUUGUCUUCACUCAGUCUUUAUGGGAAUGUCAUUAAUCCAUUAUUUCUACUAAUCAAUUGGACUGUGGUAGAACAUACGACUGUUUCAUUCUUGCACAUGUUUCUGUUAAACAAUGACAAUCAAUAAUACAAUAAAUCCAUCCUUUACAGCUUAAAGAGAUGUUCGGUUCUUUAU